rnacentral:misc_RNA from 1 species
GAAUAACGGACCAAAGGGGGGGUAAGUACCGUUGUCUUCCCUCCGUCACCCUCAUUUCCUCCUUUCUAUAUAUUCUCUCUCUUUCUCUUUCUCUCUGUAUAUAUUUACUCUUCUUGCUCGGUCAUUGUCUUUAUAGCACAAGUCUACCCCGCUCCUCCUCACUUGCUACUCCACACCAGACCUCAUCUCUCUUCUCUUUCAGCUUUGUCCGUCCUACUUUCCUCCUUUCCCCCUCCACUAGCACACGGGUCUCGUCAGUCCCCACUCCUCGCAGUGUAGCGCCAGGCACCAUGUGCUAUACAGGCGUGAGUGAUGUUUACAACUAUCGCUCGUCGCCGUGGUGCUCUCUAUGUUUCGUGGCUCCUGUUCCUUCUCUAUUUCAUCUUCCUCAAAACGCGUAAUUCAGACACACGAUCUGCUGACGCCGUGCCGUACGAUGAAUACGACUGUGGGUGUCCACGUUUCGGUCCGUCCCUUCGAAGUGGAGAUGUGUUGUCUCUGUGCAGUGAGUGGUCCAGCAGUCGGGGAGGAGGUCAGAAGGUGGUGGCGUACAGUGUUUACGGUGAUAUCAGCAAGGAGGAAGUCAACAGGCAAUACUACUCUGAAAUAGAAGAACGAGCCAAGGAUGUAGCCACUCAGUAUGAAGGCUGGGUCAUGCGGCUCUACCAUAACAUAUCAAGGUCACAUCAGAACAGCAGCGACCUACUCUGUAACCUGUACUGCCGGUACCCUCACCUUGACCUGUGCCUCGUGACCCGCUUGUAUCCCCUUCCCCCACAAGACGCAGUGAAGGAAGGCCAUCAUGAAAGCGAGAGGACUAGGGGGCGCCUCUCUCUGCACCAAGACACGAAAGCGAGUUAUGAGAAGCGAUUGGCGGCGAAGAUGUGGCGUUUCCUACCUAUGGCGGAUCCUUUGGUGUCUGAGUUCCUGGUGAGAGAUCUUGACUCGUCCAUCCUGCCCCGGGAAGUCGCAGCAGUGAAUCAGUGGCGGGCCAACUCCACAGCCCUUGUGCACAUCAUGAGAGACCAUCCCAGUCACAACGGCCUCAUUCUUGCAGGUAUGUGGGGAGGAUCGAGAGAGCGAGGCGCAGCUAACUUGACCUCGAUGCUGCACGCCAUGACGCGCUGGCCGCCGCGUGAUAUCUGGGACUACGACCAGAUGCUCCUCAAGAGAGUCGUCUGGCCCGAGGUCCUGGAUAGCGCUUUGUUCUGCGCUGCCUGGAUCUUAUGGUCAAUCUCUCUCUCUCUAUGCCUCCAUCCUUCGCUACAUAGGAGCCAAGAUAUCUGAAGGCGUCCAUGCACUUUCAGCAGUUUGUGGUCCUGCAUGAACAGGUCGCCUCCCUGUGCUACAUUGCAGUCCAGCUUGUCCACGAUAGCUAUUUCUGCGCCAACCCACACUUCCAGUCCCGCCACCGCGCCGUGCCCUUCCCCACGCGCAGGGACGGCCGCCUCUUCGUUGGGUGGGGACGCACUAGAGCCGAUGAGCGGAAGACUAUUAUUAACUGUCCUGUGCAGUGUAGGCCCAGGAACCACCUAGACUGGCUACAAUGC